CCCUUAGAUGUUCGGGGCCGCACGCGCGCUACACUGAAGCAAUCAACGUGCCUGUCUCCUGGUCCGGAAGGAUCGGGCAACCCGCUGAACCUGCUUCGUGAUAGGGACUGGGGCUUGCAAUUGUUCCCCACGAACGAGGAAUUCCCAGUAGGCGCGAGUCAUGAGCUCGCGUCGAUUACGUCCCUGCCCUUUGUGCACACCGCCCGUCGCUACUACCGAUUGAAUGGCUUAGUGAGAUCCUCGGAUGGGUCCUGGCACGCACCUUCGGGGGCGCGCCGGUGUUGCCGAGAAGACGAUCGAACUUGAUCAUUUAGAGGAAGUAAAAGUCGUAACA
rnacentral:rRNA from 1 species